GUCCAGGGAUGGGAAUCGAACCCACAUUGUUCCGCUUAGCGGGCAGAUGCCAUGUCUACUAGGCUAUCCUGAA
rnacentral:tRNA from 1 species